rnacentral:rRNA from 1 species
AUUGAACGCUGGCGGCAUGCCUUACACAUGCAAGUCGAACGGCAGCAUGAUCUAGCUUGCUAGAUUGAUGGCGAGUGGCGAACGGGUGAGUAAUACAUCGGAACGUGCCCUGUAGUGGGGGAUAACUAGUCGAAAGAUUAGCUAAUACCGCAUACGACCUGAGGGUGAAAGUGGGGGACCGCAAGGCCUCAUGCUAUAGGAGCGGCCGAUGUCUGAUUAGCUAGUUGGUGAGGUAAAGGCUCACCAAGGCGACGAUCAGUAGCUGGUCUGAGAGGACGAUCAGCCACACUGGGACUGAGACACGGCCCAGACUCCUACGGGAGGCAGCAGUGGGGAAUUUUGGACAGUGGGCGAAAGCCUGAUCCAGCAAUGCCGCGUGUGUGAAGAAGGCCUUCGGGUUGUAAAGCACUUUUGUCCGGAAAGAAAUGGCUCUGGUUAAUACCUGGGGUCGAUGACGGUACCGGAAGAAUAAGGACCGGCUAACUACGU